GAGGGCGUGGUAGAGGUGCCUGGAUUCCUCUGUUGGUCUCUGCGGUUCACAUCCUGUGGGCGGGCAGUGCCUGCUUGGGGUUUACUCUCCUUAGGAUUCUCCUCUGCAACAGCAGGCGCGCGGGCCGGAAGGCAGCGGCCUCGGCCGAGCAGCAGCGCCCGCAAAGGCGCCUCGUCGUCCUUGGGCGGAUGGCACUGCAGUCCUGG
rnacentral:lncRNA from 1 species